AGAGGACUCACUGCCUUCUACCUCCUUGGAAGGACCCUCUUACAUCUCUUUCCUCUGUAAUAUACAUAUGCUUUUUCCUUUUCCACUACAUUUUGCUCCUACAUGCCCCCAUUUAGAACAUAAACAGCACUUGGAUGGUACCAAGGAUACACGAACUGGACAUCAGCCACCACUCCUAGUUUUGAUUUAAAGUGAUGAGACUUCGGCAGUUCUUUAGUCAUAUUUGCUUCUAUAAAGACCUUUGCCUCCUCCAAAACUCUUGCUAAGUAGAGUGUCCGGGUGUAGCCUCUUAGGCUUUCCAACUGCACUGGCGAUGAACCCCAAGCCCUUCCAUGAAAACAUCCUUCUCGGCA
rnacentral:lncRNA from 1 species